GCCACAGAGAAUCUCACAGGCGUCCAGGCUGCUCCGCCAAUUCUGUAAAGACAGUUUUACUAAAAACGGUUUGAUUGUAAAUAAUUCAGGGUGGAGAAGUGUGUCGUUUUACGGUGUUGCAGUAGCUCUUUCUAAAUGACGCAUCCCAGCCGUUGGGACUGAUUUUCCCGCGCGAGAGGAAGCCCACCACAGCAGAGUCGGCUGAGCGGCGGCAGCAGCUGCGGGGACUGAGAGAAACCUGAGGAAACAGACGCAGACACGGGGAGAACUCCACA